CAGCCGCCGCGGGAAUACGAAGGUGGCAAGCGUUGUCCGGAAUUAUUGGGCGUAAAGGGCUCGCAGGCGGUUUCUUAAGUCUGAUGUGAAAGCCCCCGGCUCAACCGGGGAGGGUCAUUGGAAACUGGGAAACUUGAGUGCAGAAGAGGAGAGUGGAAUUCCACGUGUAGCGGUGAAAUGCGUAGAGAUGUGGAGGAACACCAGUGGCGAAGGCGACUCUCUGGUCUGUAACUGACGCUGAGGAGCGAAAGCGUGGGGAGCGAACAGGAUUAGAUACCCCGGUAGUCCCUGUCUCUUAUAC
rnacentral:rRNA from 1 species